GCCUCUAUAGCUCAGUGGCAGAGCGUGUCACUCGUAUACAAAGGUGUACACAUCCAUCCGGUCCCAGGGGCCAGGAAGCGGUGAUGACAAGGUCGGGUGUUCGAUCCACCCUGGAGGCA
rnacentral:tRNA from 1 species